CCGAUCUCUCUGCCAUGUUCUGGGCUCCCGUUCUCAGCCUCCUAGUGAUUUGGGGCACAGGUUCCCACUCCCAGCUGGUGCUCACUCAGCCUCCAUCCGCGUCCGUGUCCCCGGGAAACACCGUGAGGCUCACCUGCACCUUCAGCAGCGGAGUCAGCAUCAGUGGCUAUCCUGUGCAGUGGUUCCAGCAGAAGCCUGGCAGCCCCCCACGAUACCUCCUGACCUAUUAUUCAGAUAGCAGCAAGCACCAAGGCUCGGGGGUCCCCACUCGCUUCUCUGGCUCCAAGGACACCUCCACCAACAGUGGCAUUUUGACCAUCUCUGGAGUCCAGGUUCCCACUCCCAGCUGGUGCUCACUCAGCCUCCGUCCGCAUCCGUGUCCCCGGGAAACACCGUGAGGCUCUCCUGCGCCUUCAGCAGCGGAGUCAGCGUCAGUGGCCAAUAUGUGUACUGGUUCCAGCAGAAGCCUGGCAGCCCCCCACGAUUCCUCUUGUGGUACAAUUCAGAUAGCGACAAGCACCAAGGCUCGGGGGUCCCCGCUCGCU